rnacentral:tRNA from 1 species
CGCGGGGUGGAGCAGUGGUAGCUCGUUGGGCUCAUAACCCAAAGGUCGUCGGUUCGAAUCCGACCCCCGCAACCA